rnacentral:rRNA from 1 species
AUUGAACGCUGGCGGAAUGCUUUACACAUGCAAGUCGAACGGCAGCACGGGUGCUUGCACCUGGUGGCGAGUGGCGAACGGGUGAGUAAUGCGCCGGAACGUAUCCAAUAAUGGGGGAUAACGCACCGAAAGGUGUGCUAAUACCGCAUACGCCCUGAGGGGGAAAGCGGGGGAUCGUAAGACCUCGCGUUAAUGGAGCGGCCGAUGCCGGAUUAGCUAGUUGGUGAGGUAAAGGCUCACCAAGGCGACGAUCCGUAGCUGGUCUGAGAGGACGACCAGCCACACUGGAACUGAGACACGGUCCAGACUCCUACGGGAGGCAGCAGUGGGGAAUUUUGGACAAUGGGCGCAAGCCUGAUCCAGCCAUUCCGCGUGAGUGAAGAAGGCCUU